rnacentral:rRNA from 1 species
CCUACGGGGGGCUGCAGUGAGGAAUAUUGGUCAAUGGGCGCGAGCCUGAACCAGCCAAGUCGCGUGAGGGAUGAAGGCUCUAUGGAUCGUAAACCUCUUUUAUAAGGGAAUAAAGUGUGGGACGUGUCCUAUUUUGUAUGUACCUUAUGAAUAAGGAUUGGCUAACUCCGUGCCAGCAGCCGCGGUAAUCCGGAGGAUCCGAGCGUUAUCCGGAUUUAUUGGGUUUAAGGGGUGCGUAGGCGGCCUUUUAAGUCAGCGGUGAAAGUCUGUGGCUCAACCAUAGAAUUGCCGUUGAGACUGGGGGGCUUGAGUAUGUUAGAGGCAGGCGGAAUGCGUGGUGUAGCGGUGAAAUGCUUAGAUAUCACGAAGAACCCCGAUUGCGAAGGCAGCCUGCCAGGCCAUGACUGACGCUGAUGCACGAAAGCGUGGGGAUCAAACAGGAUUAGAUACCCGAGUAGUC